UACGGAGGGAGCUAGCGUUGUUCGGAAUUACUGGGCGUAAAGCGCACGUAGGCGGCUUUUCAAGUCGGGGGUGAAAUCCCGGGGCUCAACCCCGGAACUGCCCUUGAAACUGGAUGGCUAGAAUCCUGGAGAGGCGAGUGGAAUUCCGAGUGUAGAGGUGAAAUUCGUAGAUAUUCGGAAGAACACCAGUGGCGAAGGCGGCUCACUGGCCCGGUACUGACGCUGAGGUGCGAAAGCGUGGGGAGCAAACAGG
rnacentral:rRNA from 1 species